rnacentral:rRNA from 1 species
UUCCCAGGCGGAAUUUAAGUCAGUGGUGAAAGCGUAUAGCUCAACUAUAGAACUGCCAUUGAUMCUGAAAGUUCUUGAGUAUAGAUGAAGUGGGCGGAAUAUGUCAUGUAGCGGUGAAAUGCAUAGAUAUGACAUGGAACACCAAUUGCGAAGGCAGCUCACUAAACUAUUACUGACGCUCAUGAACGAAAGCAUGGGGAGCGAACAGGAUUAGAUACCCUGGUAGUCCAUGCUGUAAACUAUGAUCACUAGAUGUUGGCGAUAUAUUGUCAGUGUUUUAGAGAAAUCGUUAAGUGAUCCACCUGGGGAGUACGUUCGCAAGAAUGAAACUCAAAGGAAUUGACGGGGGCUCGCACAAGCGGUGGAGCAUGUGGUUUAAUUCGAUGAUACGCGAGGAACCUUACCAAGACUUAAAUGUAUUUUGCUAAAUUGAGAAAUCAAUUGUUCUUCGGACAAUUUACAAGGUGCUGCAUGGUUGUCGUCAGCUCGUGCCGUGAGGUGUCGGGUUAAGUCCCAUAACGAGCGCAACCCCUAUUUUUAGUUACCAGCGAAUAAUGUCGGGGGCUCUAGAAAGACUGCCUGUGUAAACAGUGAGGAAGGUGGGGAUGAUGUCAAAUCAUCACGGCCCUUAUGUCUUGGGCUACACACGUGCUACAAUGGUUACUACAGUAGGAUGCCAUCUGGUGACAGAGAGCUAAUCUAUAAAGGUAAUCUUAGUUCGGAUCGGAGUCUGCAACUCGACUCUGUGAAGUUGGAAUCGCUAGUAAUCGUAUAUCAGCAAUGAUACGGUGAAUACGUUCCCGGGCCUUGUACACACCGCCCGUCAAGCCAUGGAAGUUUGUAGUGCCUGAAGUCAGUAACCGAAAGGAUCUGCCUAGGGUAAGAUAGAUAACUAGGGCUAGUCGUAACAAGGUAGCCGU